UACGGAGGGGGCUAGCGUUGUUCGGAAUUACUGGGCGUAAAGCGCACGUAGGCGGCUUUGCAAGUUAGAGGUGAAAGCCCGGGGCUCAACUCCGGAAUUGCCUUUAAAACUGCAUCGCUAGAAUUGUGGAGAGGUAAGUGGAAUUCCGAGUGUAGAGGUGAAAUUCGUAGAUAUUCGGAAGAACACCAGUGGCGAAGGCGGGUCUCUGGGCCGAUACUGACGCUGAGGAGCGAAAGCGUGGGGAGCGAACAGG
rnacentral:rRNA from 1 species